rnacentral:tRNA from 1 species
UGGCUCAGAGGUUAAGAGCACUGGCUCCUCUUCCAGAGGUCCUGGGUUCAAUUCCCAG